ACACAAGCAGUUGUACUAACAUCAAACAGA
rnacentral:misc_RNA from 1 species